GAAAAUUUGGAAGCUAAAGAAACAAAAUGACAAAAUAGAAUAGAAUACUUUUUGGCGCAAUGAGGUGUAGAAGGAAUAUCCAGGUCCAACGGGAAUAAUCGCCCUUGCUUAUGCCCCUUCCCGAUCACUUUCCCAAUUUGCAAGUCCUGUAUAACACAUCCUGAAGGAGAAAAAUUAACUGAGCAAUUUUGAUCAACCAACAGACCAACAGAAAUCAAAUUUGCAGUUAAUGUGGGAAUAUAAAGAGAAUUAGGGAGGGGUAGAGACUUGGCCAAAGAAAGAGUUUACACCCUUAAUAGGAAGUUGUUCUCCAUUAGCAGUAAUGACAGUACCAUUUGGUGAGCAUGGUUGAAGUUUAGAGAAAAAUUGUUUUUUUGCUAGACAUAUGAUUAAAGGCUCCGGAAUCAAGAAACUAAGGAGAUGAUUGAGUUUUUCUACCUGAUAAACUAGCAGCAGAGAAAAGCAGAGGAUAUAGCACUUAGAAGAGCUAAUUGUAAAGUAGAUUGAAUCAUU
rnacentral:misc_RNA from 1 species